CUAUUCAUAGCAAAUUAGUCUGACACUUGAACAAGUUUCAGAAACUCUGACCUCAACUCAUUAUAUGCACAGUUCCGCAAUUCAAUGAUCACAGGGAAGAGGCUAACAUAAUGUUCACACAAAAAAGAAUACUAAACUCACUGAAAUAUACAUACUCUAGUUCAAUAAAUAAAUUUGUAAUAUGCACAGUCACUACCUUCACUUUACUGCAACUAGUCAAACUGUACUAUCUGAAAGUAAGAAGAAUGCUUUCAUGAUUCAGAGCUCACCAAAUCUGAGUAAUUUACAGAACAUAAUUGCCAAGAGUGAUUUCAUUCACAAGUACUCACAAUAGAUACCUAUUCACAAAUUGCAUCUAAGCUCACAUGUACAUUUCAAGUUGGCCUGAUUAUUAAAAAAACAAAAAAAGUAGAUCUUGCUAUUUGGACCUCAGCGGAAUACAUGCCAGACAAGGGGGCUGAUGCAGCAGGGGAAGAAUUGGGAGGAAGAACUUCAUGCCGCAGCCCAGGGACCCUGCACUUUGCAACCAAGGCAACAACGGGAACUGUUGUUGCUCUCAACUGCUGGCCGCCG
rnacentral:lncRNA from 1 species